AUUGAACGCUCGCGGGAUGCCUGACACAUGCAAGUCGAACGGAGUGGCGAAAGGGGGAGUAAUGUAGCGGAACGGGCCCAGUAGCGGGGGAUAACUACGAGAAAGCGAAGCUAAUACCACAGACAAUUGGAGCGGCCGAUAGCGGAUUAGCUAGUUGGUGGGGUAACGGCUACCCACGGCGACGAUCCUUAGCCGGUUUGAGAGGACGACCAGCCACACUGGGACUGAGACACGGCCCAGACUCCUGCGUGAGGCAGCAGUGGGGAAUUUUGGACAAUGGGUGAGACCCUGAUCCAGCCAUCCCGCGUGUGCGAAGAAGGCCGUCGGGUUGUAAAGCCCUUUUGGCAGGGAAGCGGUACCUGCAGACUAAGCACCGGCUAACUACGUGCCAGCAGCCGCGGUAAUAC
rnacentral:rRNA from 1 species